UCGCAAUUCGCAGGCUCGCAGCCAUGGCUUGCCCUUAAAAAUCUUCUCCACUGUCCUGCACAAAACCUCGUCAAAACCCUCUUCUACCUCGUCAAACUCAGCGACCCAAAUUGAAAAACAGAGUAAAAGCAUAAAACAUUCUCGAUUUCCAUCAACUUCUGAGCAAGAUUCAAGCUUUAAAAUCUCUAUUUUUCCAGCAUAACUCAUCACUGAAAUCCUGUUAAGGCUUCCCGUGGAAUCCCUGUUGCGGUUCAGGUG
rnacentral:lncRNA from 1 species